rnacentral:rRNA from 1 species
CCUACGGGAGGCAGCAGUGGGGAAUAUUGCACAAUGGGCGCAAGCCUGAUGCAGCCAUGCCGCGUGUAUGAAGAAGGCCUUCGGGUUGUAAAGUACUUUCAGCGGGGAGGAAGGGGAAGUGGUUAAUAACCACUUUCAUUGACGUUACCCGCAGAAGAAGCACCGGCUAACUCCGUG